CUGAGAGCUCAGACAGGCCUCCUUCAAGAACUGCACAGGCUGGCUUUUCCGGCCAUGUGAUCGUGAGGACCCUGCGAUCACAUGGCACGGGAAGGCCGGAUUGGGCAGAGGGGGUGAGCUCCCAGGCAGACCCCAGGAUUGUGAUCGCCAGCGGGGGAUCACCAGCGAUCAGGUAAGUGAGGAUUUACUAUCGGACGUACCAAGUACGUCCGAGGUUGUUAACAACCUUUUUUUUUUGUCGGACGUACCUGGUACGUCAGAGGUCGGGAAGGGGAUAAUUACCUUGCAGGUUUAACUGCACCUCUUGUGGCUGACUGGCUGACUGGCUGACUGGCUGUCUACCAGACAGCUUUUAGAGUCUCUUCUGGGUUUUUAGGUACUGUUGGAUGCCUAACUGACACUGGAGGUCCUCACGUUUUGCAUGAGGACAUCCAGAGUCAUCUAAAACCACAUAGGAAAUCACUGAUUCAAUGCUGUCCUGUGGUGUUGUCCUAAUGCAAUUGCUCACCACGCAUUAGGCCCCCCCUACUGGCUG